rnacentral:rRNA from 1 species
GUGUCAGCCGCCGCGGUAACACCAGCCCCUCGAGUGGUGGGGACUAUUAUUUGGCCUAAAGCGUCCGUAGCUGGCUGUAUCCGUCCCCCGUUAAAUCCAGCGUCCUAAACGUUGGACUGCGGGUGAUACCAUACAGCUAGAGGGUGGGAUAGGUGAGCGGUAUUUCUGGGGUAGGGGCGAAAUCCUUUGAUCCCAGGAGGACCACCAGUGGCGAAGGCUGCUCACUAGAACACGCCUGACGGUCAGGGACGAAAGCUGGGGCAGCGAACCGGAUUAGAUACCCGGGUAGUCCCAGCUGUAAACGAUGCUAGCUAGGUGUUGGGUCGGCCACGUGCCGCCCCAGUGCCGCAGGGAAGCCGUUAAGCUAGCCGCCUGGGGAGUACGGCCGCAAGGCUGAA